rnacentral:tRNA from 1 species
GGCCCCGUAGCUCAGGGGAUAGAGCACAGGUUUCCUAAACCUGGUGUCCGCGGUUCAAAUCCGCGCGGGGUCACCA